UACAGAGAGUGCGAACGUUGUUCGGAAUUACUGGGAUUAAAGCGCACGUAGGCGGCAUCGUAAGUGUCAGGUGAAAUCCCACGGCUCACCCGUGGAACUGCCUGGCAGACUGCGAUGCUCGAGUGUGGUAGGGGAGAGCGGAACUCCUGGUGGAGCGGUGAAAUGCGUAGAUAUCAGGAGGAACACCGGUGGCGAAGGCGGCUCUCUGGUCCAUGUCUGACGCUGAGGUGCGAAAGCUAGGGGAGCAAACGGG
rnacentral:rRNA from 1 species